rnacentral:rRNA from 1 species
UGCAAGUCGAGCGAACUGAUUAGAAGCUUGCUUCUAUGACGUUAGCGGCGGACGGGUGAGUAACACGUGGGCAACCUGCCUGUAAGACUGGGAUAACUUCGGGAAACCGAAGCUAAUACCGGAUAGGAUCUUCUCCUUCAUGGGAGAUGAUUGAAAGAUGGUUUCGGCUAUCACUUACAGAUGGGCCCGCGGUGCAUUAGCUAGUUGGUGAGGUAACGGCUCACCAAGGCAACGAUGCAUAGCCGACCUGAGAGGGUGAUCGGCCACACUGGGACUGAGACACGGCCCAGACUCCUACGGGAGGCAGCAGUAGGGAAUCUUCCGCAAUGGACGAAAGUCUGACGGAGCAACGCCGCGUGAGUGAUGAAGGCUUUCGGGUCGUAAAACUCUGUUGUUAGGGAAGAACAAGUACAAGAGUAACUGCUUGUACCUUGACGGUACCUAACCAGAAAGCCACGGCUAACUACGUGCCAGCAGCCGCGGUAAUACGUAGGUGGCAAGCGUUAUCCGGAAUUAUUGGGCGUAAAGCGCGCGCAGGCGGUUUCUUAAGUCUGAUGUGAAAGCCCACGGCUCAACCGUGGAGGGUCAUUGGAAACUGGGGAACUUGAGUGCAGAAGAGAAAAGCGGAAUUCCACGUGUAGGCGGGUGAAAUGCGUAGAGAUGUGGA